CAAUGAUUUUUCAUUGUUUAUCGUCGUAUUUUGGAUUCAUUUGGAUUUCGUUUCCUGUUUUUGUGAACUUUAUAAACUUUACCACAAUGCGAACUGAUUAUUUAAGGAAAUUAUUAUUGGAAACUCCAGAUGUUGCGAGAAAGAUAUUUAUUGAAGCUGAAAAUAAUUGGGGAUUUAGAUCCAUACGGAAUUCAGUCAGAAUUGGAUUUUACAGUAAAGUGCAGUCCAUCAAGUUACUAUUAUAGAUAUAUAUUUAUACAGAUCUGGUGGAGUCUCACAGUUGCUACUCUAAGCAGCAGAUGAAAGCAUACAAAAGCCUUCAGGCACAUAAAUAUUUUACAGCUGGAUUUGUUUUGAAUGGAGUAAAAAUUGUUAAUGAUUUCCUGAUUUCCAUAUUAUUGUUGGAAAGGUGAAGCAUUUCCAAAAAGCUAAUGCUAAACGACUAAAUGCUUGGGUGGGGUGAUAGCCAGUUCUGAUGACAUAGCAAAUGCACAUUGUAUGCGUAUGGCCGGUAAUAGUGAAGUCUGCAGCCAUAUUGCAGCAAUCCUAUUUUUAGCUGAGUAUGCCCAGAGCAAGACAGACGAAGAAGAACCCAAUGCAUGUACAUAUGUUACAGCUACAUGGUUUGGAGAUAGCAACAUAUGCAUUCUCUGAUGAAAAACUAAUGAGUUUUGAAACUGUUCAGUCAGAGUGCUUGUUGCGCUCACUAAACGAACUGAAAUAUAAGAAGUCUUUGGCAUUGUGUUGCAGCGAUAUGAAAAUGGUUAUUCAUUUUUAAUUAUAAUGUACUUCUUCAUCAUGAGUAAUUAUGUAUUGGUCUUUUAGAUGUGUAUUUAUUUUUGUAAUUAGUAUCAACUUGUAAUGAUAAUAUACAUUUAUCGUUUAAGGUA
rnacentral:lncRNA from 1 species